UCCGAUAUGGUGUAACGGCUAACAUUGCCGCCUUUCAUAAACAGGGAGCAACUCUGCUUGUGCGCGGCAGCUCGGGGUUCGAUUCCCCGUAUCGGAA